AGAAAAUUAGCUCAGCUGGUUUAUAGCAUCCCGAUUUUUAUCGGGAGGGUCUGGGGUUCGAAUCCCUCAUUUUCCA
rnacentral:tRNA from 1 species